rnacentral:rRNA from 1 species
UGGGAAUUUUGGACAAUGGGCGCAAGCCUGAUCCAGCCAUGCCGCGUGCGGGAAGAAGGCCUUCGGGUUGUAAACCGCUUUUGUCAGGGAAGAAAUCUUCUGAGUUAAUACCUCGGGAGGAUGACGGUACCUGAAGAAUAAGCACCGGCUAACUACGUGCCAGCAGCCGCGGUAAUACGUAGGGUGCAAGCGUUAAUCGGAAUUACUGGGCGUAAAGCGUGCGCAGGCGGUUCUGUAAGACAGAGGUGAAAUCCCCGGGCUCAACCUGGGAACUGCCUUUGUGACUGCAAGGCUUGAGUGCGGCAGAGGGGGAUGGAAUUCCGCGUGUAGCAGUGAAAUGCGUAGAUAUGCGGAGGAACACCGAUGGCGAAGGCAAAUCCCCUGGGCCUGCACUGACGCUCAUGCACGAAAGCGUGGGGAGCAAAACAGGAUUAGAUACCCUGGGUAAGUCCACGCCCUAAAACGAUGUCAAACUGGUUGUUGGGAAGGUUCCUUCUCAGUAACGUAGCUAACGCGUGAGGUUGACCGCCUGGGGAGUACGGCCGC